GCGUUAAGAUCCUGGAAAAAAGCUGCGCGCAGUUGCGCCUUGUGCUCAGCGAGGCAAAGCUGUCGUUCACAUGGAAUCGCACGCAGAGUCGUUGCUGCUGUUGUUGUUGUUGUUGAUGC